rnacentral:rRNA from 1 species
AUUGAACGCUGGCGGAAUGCUUUACACACGCAAGUCGAACGGCAGCACGGACUUCGGUCUGGUGGCGAGUGGCGAACGGGUGAGUAAUGUAUCGGAACGUGCCCAGUCGUGGGGGAUAACGUAGUGAAAAUUACGCUAAUACCGCAUACGAUCUAUGGAUGAAAGCGGGGGAUCGCAAGACCUCGCGCGAUUGGAGCGGCCGAUAUCAGAUUAGGUAGUUGGUGGGGUAAAGGCCCACCAAGCCAACGAUCUGUAGCUGGUCUGAGAGGACGACCAGCCAGACUGGAACUGAGGCACGGUCCAGCCUCCGACGGGAGGCAGCAGUGGGGAAUUUUGGACAAUGGGCGAAAGCCUGAUCCAGCCAUUCCGCGUGCAGGAUGAAGGCCCUCGGGUUGUAAACUGCUUUUGUACAGAACGAAAAGGUUUCUACUAAUACUAGGAGCUCAUGACGGUACUGUAAGAAUAAGCACCGGCUAACUACGUGCCAGCCGCCGCCGUAA